rnacentral:rRNA from 1 species
AUGGACCUCGCAACGGGGGCCAUGGGCAGCCUGCUCCUCAAGCUUGGCGACCUCCUCACGGAGGAGUACAAGAUGCAAACGGGCAUCAAGCAAGAUGUUGAGUAUCUCAAGAGAGAGCUGACAAGCAUGUACGCAGCCCUCCGCAAGGCUGGGGACGUCCCGCGGGACCAGCUCGACGAGUUGGUUAAGCUUUGGGCCGACGAAGUCAGGGACUUGUCGUUCAUAAUGGAGGACAUCGUCGAUAAGUUCCUGGUACGCGUCGAGGGAGCUGAACCUGCCAUCAAGCCACGCAAAAUCAAGAAGCUCAUGAAGAAGAUGGGAAACUUGUUCACCAAGAGCAGGACUCGCCAUGAGAUCUCCGAUGAGAUCAGGGCAAUCAAGGUCCGUGUCAAGGAGGCGGCUGAUCGGCGUGAUAGGUACAGGGUCAAUGAUGUGGUUCCAGUUACCACAUCCACGGUUGACCCUCGCCUAUUGGCUCUGUACAAAGAUCGGAAAGAGCUUGUUGGAAUUGAUGGGGCCUUCAACAAGCUAACCGAUAUGCUGUCAGAUGGGGAUAAUGAUGUGUCCAAGAAACUCAAGAUACUCUCUAUUUUCGGAUUCGGGGGGCUUGGCAAGACUACUCUUGCCAAAGCAGUGUAUGAUAAGCUCAGAGGGCAGUAUGAUUGCAGUGCUUUUGUCCCAGUUGGAAGGAACCCUAGCCUGAAGAAACUUCUUAUGGACAUUCUCUGUGGAAUUGACAAUCAAAUGUGCCAAAAUUCCAAUUUAUCGGCAUUGGAUGAAAGGCUGUUGAUUGAUAAACUUCGAGAAUUUCUCGAGAGCAAGAGGUACUUCAUCGUUAUUGAUGAUAUAUGGGAUACGGAAAUAUGGAAAACAGUCACGUGCGCUCUAGUGGAUAAUAAUUGUGCAAGCAGGAUAACUGCAACUACUCGUAUUCUCGAUGUCGCGAAAAAGGCUGGUGAAGUAUACAGGCUAGAACCACUUUCUCAUGAUUUAUCUGAGGAGUUAUUCCAGACAAGAUUAUUUGGUGGUAAAAACAAAUGCCCUCAUGAUCUGCCAACAAUGGCAUACGGUAAAAUUUUACAUAAAUGUGGUGGUGUACCGUUAGCUAUAAUCACCAUGGCUAGUCUGCUCGUCAAUAAACCAAUGGAUUUUUGGUCUAAGGUAUACAACUCAAUUGGUUUUGGGCACGAAGAUAACAAAGAUAUUGAGAACACGAGAAAAAUACUUCUGUUUAGCUAUUAUGAUCUGCCUAGCCACUUAAGGACAUGUUUACUGUACAUGAGCAUAUACCCAGAGGACCACUUUAUCAAGAAAAAUACUUUGAUAUGGAAGUGGGUAACCGAAGGUUUUGUCCAUGAGGAAACAGGGGCGGGAUUAUAUGAGAUUGGCGAGAGAUACUUCACUGAGUUGGUAAACAGAAGCAUGAUACUGCCGGUAGAGACCCCGUAUCAGGGCAUCAUAUUUGGUUGUCGAGUCCAUGAUAUGGUGCUUGAUAUGAUCUGUCUACUUUCAAGGGAAGAAAACUUUGUUACUAUAUUGAGUAGCAACGAGCAAUACACGUCUUCACAUAGUAAUGCUCGCAGGUUAGCAGUUGGACAGAGAGUCCAAAGUCUGGACAGCACACGUAUGCCACAAGUAAGGUCAUUUAUUGCCAUGUGCAUUAGUGAUCAGUUGCCACUGCUUUCAUGUUUUAAAGUCUUACGUGUCCUAGAUUUAGAAGGCGUCAUGUCCCGCCGUGGCCCUAUCUAUCUUGGGUAUCUUGGAAAGUUAGUUCACUUGAGGUAUCUCGGGCUGCAGAAUAUGCACGUUUGUGUGCUCCCUGAAGAAAUAGGAGAUCUGAAGUUGUUGCAGGUGCUGGACCUGAGUGGAAAUGGCGACUUAACUGAACUGCCAUGCAGUAUUGGUCUACUAAGUCAACUCAAGUGCCUGAACAUUGAGGGAACCGACAUAAAAGUGUUAGAUUGGAUCGGGAGCCUGACAUCCCUGGAAGAGUUGUGUCUGACAAGGGUUGAAGACAAAGAGUUCUCAAGCUUAUUUGUGAAUGAGCUAAGCAAGCUGACAGAGUUGACACUACCGGACUCGCGGGCUAUGCCUACGGCCCAAGGCCGUCGGCAUAGGUCCUUUCCCGUCGGCAUAGAUCUAUGCCUACGGCUGCCGUCGGCAUAG